UAAAGACCAUCUGUAAUCUUAUUCUGUGAUCUCGCGUUAUAUUUUAUUUGAUAACUAUGAAUUUAGUUAUGCGGAGGUGCUAGAAUAAGUAUUUUUAUUUACAAAACAAACUUCUGAAAAUAAUAAGUGAAAAGAAAUUCAUAAAAGAUAACGCACGCCAACAAAACUUCAAAAUGUAAAAAACCCAGAAACGCGAUAGUAUAUAUCCGUAGGUUUUCGAAGUGCUGAAUCCGAAUGUGGCAUCAGAUGUAAUCAAUCACAAGUGCUGUCUUGAGAUGGUUUUACUAGUAUUUGGAAAAAAAUUUAUACACAGUAUUACAUAACCUCAAACAUAGCAAAUAAUUGUGAUUUUUGUACUUUUAGGUUAGGAUAUAUAGAGAAUCUCAGGUGAUGGAUCGAUUCCGAAGUUAAAUUCAGAUUCAGUGCAUCGAGAAUAUUUUCUGAAAUAUAUUAUCGCGUUUCUAGGUAUUUUUUAGAUGUCGGCAUGUGUAAUUAUCCACUGUGGGUGCAUCAGAAUUAUACAUUAGAGUCCUUAUGUUAUUAUAAUGAACUAAAUACAAAAAUCAUCAAACAAAAACUAAAAAAGUGGAUUCUAUAGUUUCGAAAUGAAUUGAAGACGUAAGCAGAGAGCUCAAAUAAUCUUGGGCCGUUCAAUUAUUUAUAAGACUUUUUCACAGCUGUGAAUUUGCAGCUGUGUUUAAAGAUAAAGUAUUACGUUGAUAAGGCUGACUUUGAAGGAAAUGUAAUUGGAUUAACAGUUGCUUGACU